rnacentral:rRNA from 1 species
ACUAGCAGUAAGAGUUUGAUCAUGGCUCAGAACGAACGCUGGCGGCAUGCCUAACACAUGCAAGUCGAGCGCUCUCUUCGGAGGGAGCGGCGGACGGGUGAGUAACGCGUGGGAACGUGCCCCUUGGUGCGGAACAACAGCUGGAAACGGCUGCUAAUACCGCAUGAUGUCUACGGACCAAAGAUUUAUCGCCAAGGGAUCGGCCCGCGUCGGAUUAGGUAGUUGGUGGGGUAACGGCCCACCAAGCCGACGAUCCGUAGCUGGUUUGAGAGGAUGAUCAGCCACACUGGGACUGAGACACGGCCCAGACUCCUACGGGAGGCAGCAGUGGGGAAUCUUGGACAAUGGGGGCAACCCUGAUCCAGCCAUGCCGCGUGAGCGAUGAAGGCCCUAGGGUUGUAAAGCUCUUUCACCCGCGAAGAUAAUGACGGUAGCGGGAGAAGAAGCCCCGGCUAACUCCGUGCCAGCCGCCGCGGUAAUUC